rnacentral:rRNA from 1 species
UGGGGGAUGAAGGCCUUCGGGUUGUAAACCCCUUUCGGCUCUGACGAAGCCCCUUUUUGGGGUGACGGUAGGAGCAGAAGAAGCCCCGGCUAACUUCGUGCCAGCAGCCGCGGUAAUACGAAGGGGGCUAGCGUUGUUCGGAAUUACUGGGCGUAAAGCGCACGUAGGCGGAUAUUUAAGUCAGGGGUGAAAUCCCGGGGCUCAACCCCGGAACUGCCUUUGAUACUGGGUAUCUGGAGUAUGGAAGAGGUAAGUGGAAUUCCGAGUGUAGAGGUGAAAUUCGUAUAUAUUCGGAGGAACACCAGUGGCGAAGGCGGCUUACUGGUCCAUUACUGACGCUGAGGUGCGAAAGCGUGGGGAGCUAACAGGAUUAAAUACCCUGGUAGUUCACGCUGUAAGCGA